rnacentral:sRNA from 1 species
AAUGAAGACUUGUUGCCAACAUGGAGAUAGAGGAUAUUGGUCUACAGGGUACUAUUGGAGAGGUAACUGUGAGGCUUUUACACCCAGACAGCCCUUCUGUGCAUGGCAAGUUUUACUGAACUCCUCGAGAUUUAGGGCCAAUUAAUUCAUCUGUUUUAAGAUGAAUUCAUUGGGGGGUCCUGAUGACAACUUAAUUGAAGGUGGAGGAACAAAAUUUGUCUGCAAACCUGGAGCCAGAAACAUUACCGUCAUAUUCCACCCAUUACUAAGAUUUAUUCAGGAGAUUGAGCAUGCUCUGGGUCUUGGCCCAGCCAAACAGUGUCCUCUUCGAGAGUUUCUCACCGUGUACAUCAAAAACAUCUUUCUCAAUCAAGUCUUGGCUGAGAUCAACAAGGAGAUUGAAGGAGUCACUAAAACAUCUGACCCUUUGAAGAUUCUGGCCAACGCAGACACCAUGAAGGUGCUGGGAGUGCAGCGGCCUCUCCUACAGAGCACAAUCAUUGUGGAGAAGACAGUUCAAGACCUCCUGAACCUGAUGCAUGACUUGAGUGCAUAUUCAGAUCAAUUCCUCAACAUGGUGUGUGUGAAGCUCCAGGAGUACAAGGACACCUGCACUGCAGCUUACAGG